CAUUCAGACACACACAUACACUUACACACACACACAUUCAGACACACACAUACACUUACACACACACACAUUCAGACACACACAUACACUUACAGACACACAAAUUAUUAAUAUUAAAUGUCCACCGAACCUCCCUACCUGGAGAGCUGGCGUGGAUCUGUCCCUGGGGUCCAGUGGGACUUCAUUUAGGCGGGCGGCAGAGUUCCUGUCAGACGUGGCAAGGGAACUGUGUUCUCUCUGCUCUGCUCACUCGUGGGCUGUCUACAAAUGCCGCGAGCCGAAUAUGAUGUCAUAUUCCGGCUCCUGGGAUUAGCAAACGGCGAGGGAGCAGAGCAGAGAGAACACAGCUCCCUCGCGGCCUCUGACAGGAACUCUGCCACCUGAUGGGGGGGGGGGUCCAUUAGGUGGCCAACAGGCCACCUCUUGGGCCCCCCUAUGACAGAGGGAACACAGUGGGGGCAGCAUCUAGGCGGCCCACAGUCGCAGGGGUCGUGGCUGCAGCCGGGCCCCCUGCAGUGAAGGGCCCAGUCGCAGCUGUGACCGUGGUAGGUACGCCACUGGAUCUGUGUAAAUUUUGACAGGGACACAAAGGUCUUAGGAAUACAAGUUUGUACUGUUAGUGUUCCUUUAAGCACCAUAGCUGCCUAAUUCUGCUGAACUAGUUAUGGUGCAAAGACUUUGCCCUUCUAGCGCUGCUGAAGCCCUCUCUGCAUGGUCCUAGUUCUCCCUGCACCGCUCAAGCAUGUCUAACAACCUCUCACUGGUGUCUUCAGAUGCAGAACACCAAGAAACAAAAGUUGGACUUUGGAAAAUCGAGAAUUUCUCGCCCAACUUGGGACAGUUGG